UGUUGAAGGAGAGAAGGCAGCAAGCUCCCGUCCUGGGAGUGGAGAGCAGCUGAACUCUUGCUUUGGCUGGCUUCUCUGCCAGCUCCAGAAGGAGAAGGCAGAAAGCAGGGGGAGUUACCUAGCAACCAACUCUGAUGCUUUCCAACUAUUUACAGGGGAGACCGAGGGCUGUGACCUACAAAGUAAAUUUCCCAUCAAUGGGAUUGCAUGUGAAACACGCGGAAGGCAAGCUGGGCGCCAAACUGGCCAGGGGAGAUCCUAAUUGCUUCUGCAUGGAAGAUGUUAUGCUCAUUAUUUAACAUUUAUUGGAAAAUACAACAAGGAGUUCAAUGAAACCACCAAAGAAAACUUCAGCCACAAUCUCAUUAAAGUCAGAAUAACUAUUGAGGAACCAUUUCCAAAACCCAUGAAUGUGCCUGAAACUAGGCCCAGAAACCACAAGACUAUAGAAAAUAAAUGUUGUUCUUCAUUUGGUUCUAUCAAUAUGGUCUGCUGAGAUGGCAUGCUGUAUGGCUUCCACCUAGGCUGCUAUGAAUAUGAGGCAUAUGAAGUUAUGUGAUGGUAAGUCAAUUCUGUGGCAUGUUAGAUGCCACUCUGCAAUCUCUCUGAGAUUACCCAAGUUUCACCACCCCUACCAUGAUCAUCUGGGUGAUUAUAUGGCAUAACUGCACAGCAUCAUCAAACUAUUGUGUCUAUCAUCAGCCUAACAACAAUUCAUGUUUCUGUGACUGUUUGCCCUCCACACUUCUUGAGAUCCCCACUUGGAACACAUUUUCCAUGGCAGUGUGGCUCACAGAAUCAAACUAUUGCUUGUCAUAUAAUUGUGGAUUUUUAGCUUACACUUUCUGAAGGGCAAGAAGCAAAAUGUCAAAACAGAAAUCCACUACACACAAUGAUAUACUGUUAGAAUAUAGGUCUUGGGAACACAGUGGAGCACAAGAGUUUUAUAUUGAUUCUGAAAUUUGAUUCCAAGAGCAGACCUACACAUUCAUAAGAAUCAUGAGGUACAGCCCUAGACAGACUGCACCACUUCAGAAUGCAGGUGGGAGAAACGACUUUACUGAGUAUUUCUCCAUGCCAAAGACUCCCUUUCUUAAGAAAUGUAGCCUUGCAUUCUAACUUUGCCUCCUUGCUGAUGCAUUAGUUCUGAUGCAGAAAAGCAUUGAGUUAUGAAGCUGUUCCACUUGCACUCUAAAGCAAUAAAAGAAAUCAUGGAAGACUGUGUUAUAGCAGUGUCCUACAUGUGUAGAGUUAAAGGGCAUUUUGAUAUGUUCUCAGUAUAAAAAAACUGAUCUCACUGGACUAAGUAUGUUAAAUGCCCCUUUAUAGUUUGCUCUUUUUUUUAUCCAGAAAAUGUAACAACACUAACUCAAAAAAAUUAUCUUUUAAAAUACACUACAUAGCUUGAAACGUUCAAUUUAUUCUUCAAAAGAGAAAGUUACUAAGAUUAAAAGAACACCAAUGAAUGAAAGAAAGGCUUUAAACCAUUUCACAGGAGAAGUAAUCGCAACAUGACAUUUUUCACAUACAACUCAACUUUAUUUCACAAUGAAAAAUAGGCAGAAGGCUGCAGAAUGAAGGUGUCAGGUACAAAUUUGCUUUGCAAUUUCCAAGCAGCCUGAAACCCAGCAGACAAUGUAGCUGUUGAUUAACAAACACAGAAUUCUACAUUGUAUGCCAGGUUCAGGCCCCAAGACUGGCUGCUCUUCUUUGAUAUGUUACUAAAUCAAUACUAAAAUGGAUGGUGCCCAUCCAAAUAGCAUAUGAAGGGGAUCAGUGAACUACUACUAAAAAUAGUGGAGAUCACUAUGCUCACAAUCCAGUCUACUGUGGCUUCCCAUGCAAUGCCCCCCCGGCUUUCCAUUGAACAGAGCCCUGCUGGGAACCCCCAGAAGCUGCUGUGCACAGGUUCAAAUGUCACAUUUUAGCAAAUGUGCCCAAUAUAAGUGUGAGCCAGAUUACGUUAUUACAUGUCUCAAGCAAAUAUACAUUUUGCUUCUGAACUGAAUAAAAACAACACAGUUGCAAAGUCUUAUCGAAGUUCAUUUGGGGAAACAUAUUGUUACAAAGAAUUCCUGAUUGACUAUAUGAGAUUUGAACAACAGACUGUGAUUAUUGUUAGAGACAGCAGCUGGUUGCUGUGCAUUUUGCCUAGAAUUAGCUACUGUUUAUUGUAAAUCGUGAUCGUUUCUAUAAUA